GGAAAUCAGCCUUGGAAAAUGGGAAGCAACGGUCCUGUAAAUUCAGCAGGGAGACCUUCCUUCCACUGCCGCAUUCCAGUAGUCUGAACCUGCCUGCCCCCAACCUUCUCAAGUGUGCUCUGCUGGCCACGGGUCUUCUCAACCCCAGCACCGGGGCUAUACACAGCAUACAGACAGAUAUCCUGGGUCUUGGAGUCAGCUGUCCAGAGGAGUCACAUUCAGCUUCAAGUUGCCCCACUGCGCCCCUCCCCUAUAUGCAGGUUCUGAAGGAACCGAGCCUGAUUUGGACUUUGGAAUUCUGGAACGGCAAGAGGAAGAGGUGGACUCGGCCUUGCGUGUUUCAGCGUCUCUUCUGGUUUUCUUCCCAUCAGUUCAGUUCAAUUCAUUCAUUCAGUCAUGGCUGACUCUCUGAGAUCCCAUGGACUGCAGCACGUCAGGCUUCCCUGUCCAUCACAAAUUCUCAUGUCCAUCAGGGAAUCGUCCCGACCCAGGGAUCGAACCCAGAUCUCCUGCAUUGCAGGCAGAUUCUUUACUGACUGCACUACGAGAGAAGUCUUUUUCCCCAUAAAGGCUACUGCAUGUGGGGUCUUAGCUUCCUGACCAGGGAUUGAACCCGCACACCCUGCCCUGGAAGGUGAACUCUUAACCACUGGGCCGCCAGGGACGUCCUCACAUGUUUCCUUACGUGAAGGAGGCAGAGGGAGACUUGGCUACAGAAGAGGAGGAGGCUGUGUGGUGAUGAAAGGAGAGACUGCAAUGAUGAGAUCAUGAGCCAAGGAACGCCAAGGAAUUUUGAAACUACCAGCAGCUGGAAGGAGAAGGGAGCUGAUUCUUCCCUGGAGCCUCCAGAAAGAAUCAGCUGGCAACACCUUGAUUUUAGGUCUGGAAGACUCAUUUCAGAGUGUAUGUCUCCAGAACUAUAAGAGAAUAUAUUUCUGUUGUUUUAAGCCACUACUUUUUCUAUAGCAAUGAGAAAUGGCCACAUUGUUCCUUCUGUCUGAACUGCUCCUCCCCCAGGUGACUGAAUGGUUGCCUCCCUUACUUCCUUUAGUACUUUGCUCAAAUAUUUGCCACCUUCUCAAUAAAUUACCCUGUUCAGGAG
ensembl:lncRNA